AGAGUUUGAUCCUGGCUCAGAGUGAACGCUGGCGGCGUGCUUAACACAUGCAAGUCGAACGGUAACAGCAGAGCUUGCUCUGGCUGACGAGUGGCGCACGGGUGAGUAAUAUAUAGUUAAUCUGCCUCGAAGACUAGGAUAGCCACUGGAAACGGUGAUUAAUACUAGAUAGUCCUUUCAUUCAUAAGAAUGAUUGGUAAAUGUUUUUUCGCUUUGAGAUGAGACUAUAUCCCAUCAGCUUGUUGGUAGUGUAAGAGACUACCAAGGCAAUGACGGGUAGCGGGUUUGAGAGGAUGAUCCGCCACACUGGUACCGAGACACGGACCAGACUCCUACGGGAGGCAGCAGUGAGGAAUAUUGCACAAUGGGGGAAACCCUGAUGCAGCAACGCCGCGUGGAGGAUGACGCAUUUCGGUGUGUAAACUCCUUUUAUAUGUCAAGAAAAUGACGGUAGCAUAUGAAUAAGCACCGGCUAACUCCGUGCCAGCAGCCGCGGUAAUACGGAGGGUGCAAGCGUUACUCGGAAUCACUGGGCAUAAAGGACGCGUAGGCGGGAUGCCAAGUCUGAUGCGAAAUCCUAUAGCUUAACCAUAGAACUGCAUUGGAAACUGGUAACCUAGAGUAUGGGAGGGGGAGAUGGAAUUAGUGGUGUAGGGGUAAAAUCCGUAGAUAUCUCUAGGAAUACCUAAAGCGAAGGCGAUCUCCUGGAACAAUACUGACGCUAAGGCGUGAAAGCGUGGGGAGCAAACGGGAUUAGAU
rnacentral:rRNA from 1 species